GACAGAGGUGCCAAGCGUUAGGCGGAAUCACUGGGCUUAAAGCGUGUGUAGGCGGACUUGUAAGUACCUUGUGAAAUCCCACGGCUCAACCGUGGAACUGCUUGGUAUACUGCUUGUCUUGAGCCACUUAGGGGCUACCGGAACAAAUGGUGGAGCGGUGAAAUGCGUAGAUAUCAUUUGGAACGCCAAUGGUGAAAACAGGUAGCUGGGAGUGUGCUGACGCUGAGACACGAAAGCCAGGGGAGCAAACGGG
rnacentral:rRNA from 1 species